UACGUAGGUGACCAGCGUUGUCCGGAUUUACUGGGCGUAAAGAGCGCGCAGGCGGUCGUUCAAGUCGAGUGUGAAAGCCCCCGGCUCAACUGGGGAGGGUCAUUCGAUACUGAUCGACUGGAAGGCAGGAGAGGGAAGCGGAAUUCCCGGUGUAGUGGUGAAAUGCGUAGAUAUCGGGAGGAACACCAGUGGCGAAGGCGGCUUCCUGGCCUGUUCUUGACGCUGAGGCGCGAAAGCGUGGGGAGCAAACGGG
rnacentral:rRNA from 1 species